rnacentral:lncRNA from 13 species
GUCAUAUCUGACCUGAAACAAAAACACAUACACAUUAGUUAUGCAUUCUGCAUGUACAAACUGCAGUUCUCAGAAUUAAAGCAAAUGCAGAUAUCCCUAUCUAACCUCAUUGAAUGCUGUCUUGACAGUCUACUUCAGUGCAGACCACUCAGAUCCACAAAAGGCCUGUAAGUCACAUUCAAAUUCAACCACAUAACAGUCCUUAUAUUAUUUAUUGAUACACAAUUCAAGGCCAAAAUGAGCAAAGCAGUGUUGAAUUCAUUCUUUACUGUUAACAGCCAAUCAUUGUGAGCUAUGGGCAGGACCAGACAUCUGGGGAUGGAUGGAGCAUCAAUCCAGAGCCUCUCAGCCAGGUCAUCUCUGCUGUUCCCAUAGAGACACAACAGUUAGAUCAAUCUGUUGAUUCAUAUGGCCAUUUUGGUUGGCUUGGUGGAAUUGACAAUAAUCCAUUCAAGAUGCUAAAGAAUCCUGUACUAUGGAAGAUCUUUAGCCCCACCCCUAAUGUUAUGGGAGUUGCAUUUAUUGCAUUUUCAGUUACCCAUGUAUUACUCACUACUUGUACAACCAUGUUGGAUUGCCUACAUACUCUACAUUUCCUUGAGGGUCAAUGCCAGUGUAUUCUAUGGCUGCCAUGAGUACAUGCCUUUCUCUGUCUCCUCAGUCUGGAAGGGUGACUCGGCUGAUAGAGAGAAAAUAUGAUGACGUGAUCUCAUCCUCCAGUUCUGAUGACUUUUCCAUCUACUCCUUCACUGACUGUGAAUCUGAGUGUGAUGAGGAUCAUGAAAGGAGGACACCACCGCUGAAAAUUGAGAAUGGAAAGGUGACAAAGCUUGAUGUGAGGGAUAUGGACGAGGAUAACGAUCUGUCUCUCCACUCCUUCGAUGAGUCAGACUUCCUGAGCCCAGGGAAGGUCUCAGGUCCUGUAUCUGUCAAGAAUGGCCUCUCUCCUCUUAUGACCUCAGCACACCGGACCCUGGCUGAAGCCCUACGGGCCCUGCCCUCUGCUGUAGGCUCUCCCUACCCAGUAAAUGUUCCAAGGCCUCGGACUCCUCUCAACCCUGUCAUUAUUGCUCCACCCCGAACAGAGAACUUUCCAUACCGCCACAGCACUCGCCUGGCUCCCAUCACCAACCUGAGCGAGACAGGCAGGAAGCUGCUCCAGGAAAUGGCUGGAGUGGCCCCACAGGUGAGAGGAAAUACAAGAAGGGAAUAUUGGCCGUAAGUCCUUCUAUAGUAUAGCAUAAGUC